AAAUUAUUUAAGGACUUUAUAAGCGGAACCUUGGCAGAUUAAAACUCACUGUUAGGUGAAACUGCAUAGAUUUUUUCUCAGGUGUUUUACCUUAUUCGUUGAUGUGGGAACUGGAGGGAGAAAUGCAAUGGAGUCCCUGGCUGUGUUUAUUGACCGCGAUUUGAAGGGUUACUGACAUCCAAGAUGAGUGACCGCUGCCCCCGGUGGAUUUGUGGGAGUUUCUUUAUGGGCCUUGAGGCCAGUUGGCAAUUGAGGAAUAAACCAGUAAUCAGUGGAAGGAGAGAGUAAGCUGUUCUGACAAAAGGUGAAGAUAGACUCUUCAAAGGGGAGGAGUCAGCUGUGAAGGCUUCGUUUAAUGAUGACAGUCAGUACUCUUUCAUACCCUGGCAAAAGCUACAUGAGCACAGUAAUUGUGAUAUUGUGAGCAGAAAUGACAGUUAUGAUUGCAUCGAUUGACUGGUGCUGUGAAUAACCUUCAGUGUUUUUUUUUAGAAUCCAGAUUUGAUUGGUGGAUCUGUGUCACCUGAUGUAUUUUUUUUCUGGUUUUUCUGGUUUAUGUGUGGAGUUUCACACUCUAUGCACCAUAGCCUUUCUCUUAUUACAGGAAAUAUCGAUCCAGAAAAAUGGGAUAAAAAUACUUGGUUUUUGGUCUGAGGUCUCAGAAGGCAAUUUAUACUCUAUUCUACUAAUAUUCUAACCUUUUACUCUUUCUCAAAUUGUAAAAUUAGUACUCAUAGUCUGUUCAUCCCAACAUGGUGGAUGCAAAGAUACCAUUUUAAAUACAUUUAAUAUUUGGAAUGAAAUUAAUUGCAUUUUUUGAGCAGAUAAGAUAAAAUGUUGAAUCUCUGUAAGAAGUGUGGUCCUCCUGGGAGUUAGAGGCAUCUAUUGCAUGAUUUAGUUUUAGCUGAGUACAAUGUGAGCUUAGGUGGUAUCCAAUUUUUCAUGUAUCAUAUUGUCCAUGCAUUACACCACUGUAUAUAUAUAUGGUCUUUUGAUGAUAUUUUCAAAAGCAACGCUAUUCCAGAACUUCUUGGAGAUCUUGCAGAUAAUAUUAGCCAAAUUUACCCAAAAUAGCUCAGUAUACCCAAAUGACCACAGUGUACCCAAAUUACUAUGAUAUACCCCAUUAACUUGACAAGGACAUUAUUUUGGGUUGAGCAUGGUGGGGGGGGGGGGGUUUACAGUGUCCCCAUUUCCCCCUUAAUUUACACCCAUGUACCUUGACACUGAGCCUAGUAUAAGGGUACGACUAAACAGAAUGAAUCACUCUCAGGUGCGUCCACUGCAGUUGUUGUUUUACCUUUGAUAGUGAAACAGAAGCUGAGCAUUCCAGGCACAUUCUCCGCACUGCACGCCAGUACCACAGCACAUUCUCCGCACUGCACGCCGGUACCACAGCACAUUCUCCGCACUGCACGCCAGUACCACAGCACAUUCUCCACACUGCACGCCAG